ACCUGCAGAACGGAAUAAUGAAGCGGGAUUUGCAAUAGGAUGAACUGCUGUGUGUACUGUAGGGUCUGUCCGAUGUCGGCAGACUCUAUUUUUUUAU
rfam:Enterobacter sp. 638, complete genome.